GGAAUAUUGCACAAUGGGCGCAAGCCUGAUGCAGCCAUGCCGCGUGUAUGAAGAAGGCCUUCGGGUUGUAAAGUACUUUCAGCGGGGAGGAAGGUGUUGAGGUUAAUAACCUCAGCAAUUGACGUUACCCGCAGAAGAAGCACCGGCUAACUCCGUGCCAGCAGCCGCGGUAAUACGGAGGGUGCAAGCGUUAAUCGGAAUUACUGGGCGUAAAGCGCACGCAGGCGGUCUGUCAAGUCGGAUGUGAAAUCCCCGGGCUCAACCUGGGAACUGCAUUCGAAACUGGCAGGCUAGAGUCUUGUAGAGGGGGGUAGAAUUCCAGGUGUAGCGGUGAAAUGUGUAGAGAUCUGGAGGAAUACCGGUGGCGAAGGCGGCCCCCUGGACAAAGACUGACGCUCAGGUGCGAAAGCGUGGGGAGCAAACAGGA
rnacentral:misc_RNA from 1 species